rnacentral:rRNA from 1 species
GACGAACGCUGGCGGCGUGCUUAACACAUGCAAGUCGAACGCUGAAGACCUGGCUUUUGUUGGGUUGGAUGAGUGGCGAACGGGUGAGUAACACGUGAGUAACCUGCCCUCUUCUUUGGGAUAACGCCCGGAAACGGGUGCUAAUACUGGAUAUUCACUGAUCUUCGCAUGGGGGUUGGUGGAAAGGUUUGUUCUGGUGGGGGAUGGGCUCGCGGCCUAUCAGCUUGUUGGUGGGGUGAUGGCCUACCAAGGCUUUGACGGGUAGCCGGCCUGAGAGGGUGACCGGUCACAUUGGGACUGAGAUACGGCCCAGACUCCUACGGGAGGCAGCAGUGGGGAAUAGUGCACAAUGGGCGAAAGCCUGAUGCAGCGACGCCGCGUGAGGGAGGGAGGCCUUCGGGUUGUAAACCUCUUUCGCGCAUGGUCAAGCCGCAACUGUGGGUUGUGGUGAGGGUAGUGGGUAAAGAAGCGCCGGCUAACUACGUG